rnacentral:rRNA from 1 species
CUUGCCUACCCUUGUGUUGGUGGUGGACUUGCGCCGGGCCGCCUUCGCUGUUCGGCCGCGGCCGGCGCAGGCGAUGUUUCUGCUGUGCGUGUGCGGGUGUAGGGAGAGGGUGAGAGUGAGGGCGGCCGAGGGUGGUGGCGUGUGCGGGAGGUAGCGAAGGGGUAGGAGGCGGCGUAACGCGGCUAGCGUACGACGAGAGGGAGCGGGGCGGGGCGGACGAUGGGGCGGAGGGGAGGGGCCGCUGGCGGUGGCGUUGGUGACGGGCCGGGGCGCGGGAGCGGGAGCGGGGCGCGGCGCGCGAGAGGAGCCGGCGGUCUUGGCGGCGAGGAGGCGAGGCGCGCCACCAGAGGCUUGCCCGACAACUGCCCUACCGCGGCCGCCGCCGCCCCGACCUCCCCGCCGGCGAGGCCCACCCCGAGCACACGCCGCCCGGGAGGCGGCUCGCCCCGUAGAGCGAGUUGAGGCGCGCGAGGCACGAGCUAGUGUAGGUCCCACUCCUGAACAACCACUCGACGAUGAUGUAGCUGACACCGUACUUGCGCAAGCGCUAGAGCGGUCGGGUCGACAUGAGGUUGUGGGGAAGGCUAAAGCUAAAGUUCGAACUUUCAGAUCGUGUUCUUAAAAGGUGGGAUAGACUUAAACGCCUUGUAGAACGACGGUUACAACUGUAACAGAAGGGUCACUAUGUACCCUUUAAACCACUUCUACCACCAUAAGUCCUCGAAAACCUCUUUCGUUUACAAGGUAAACAACCCUGCGGGAGAUUACUUACGGAGGCACGAAAACUGUUCGUAUUACGUAGCGAGCUCGAGCUGCGAGUUCCAAAGAAUUGUCAUGGUUUGAAAGAACAUCUCUUCCUAUUUAACCGAUUCAGUGUUAACCUCCUUACCAAACCUUCGUAGUUAAACUUAUUUCUUUUACCGUUUCACUAACAGUUUGGAUGCUCUCGACCUAGUUCGUAGCCACAUCAACAGCGAAUACCACGAUUACUCCGUCGACUCUUUCGGCUCCCUUAUAAAAGUCUCCCUUAACUACUAUUCCAAUAGUAGCUUCAAAAAGAACUUCCCCCGACACUCAAAUGUCGGUAACAAGAACUACAACCCUGUCGAUUAUUAUCACUCGGAUAGCAAAACGAAGGUUGCCUUCAACUCGAAGUCAGUAGUUAAAGAUCACUAUAAGUCCUCCUAUGUUAUAAAUUGAUGGCAUCCUUUAUGGAAGGUUGAGUUGUCCAACGAAUAGUAUGUGGAGGUGCCAAAGGCCGUCUCCACUAUCUAACGUAUUCUUUUCCUCAUAGGGAAAAUAAAGCGGUGAAACCGGACGCACUGAAGCGAUCCUAUCUACCAACCAAGAAUGGUUCAGGACGAUGAAGAGACGGGAGCAGACUUUUGCCACAAUUUAAACCUUUAUGUCUCAUACCACGACAGGAAAAGUGACUAUAAUUGAACUAUUCACCCUACCUCGUUUGGUCAAAGAAUAAAGUUGUUCGAAGUUUCCAACCUAAGAGAGUGAGAGCUUAGGAGGCAUGUUAACAAGUCGCACGAACGAGUGCAAAAGGAAGGGAACAAAGUUCGUUAUUACGUACCUGACGAAAUAGGUCUUUUUACGUUAGACGUUUUGUUCGUCUCUAUUAGGUUUUACCGUGUACGUUCGUCUUCCGUAAACACUAUAAACCACCGCUAUGAAGUCUCGCCGUUCAUAGAGAAUACUCACCGUGUUUACAGACCGAAUUAAACGUUCCCAAGCUACUAGAACUACACUGUGGCACGAACGAACGUGGAAGUUCACCUACAAGAAGGGUGUUGGUUCUAGAGUCGUUUUGAAGUGCGCUACAAACCUGUGAUGGUAUAAGAAAUCACAAUGCUGUAUGGUGACUUCUUCAAGUACGACGUACAAAGCUUCGUUAACUUGGUCUCGCCCAACUUUAUUGUAGAGCGAAUGCACUAGUUCAUUACUUUCUUGAAGUUGUUCGUAAUUCGUUCGUUCUAACCAAACGCCCGAAACUGUAGUGACUACUUGUUGGAUAGUUUAUGAGGGACGUUGUCACCUAACUAAUACAAUUUCUUCGAUUUCGACAUCACAAGUAUCGUCAAGUACCACCAUAACCCCUCCUACCGUGGUAAGUUAGCGAUAACCUUAGACGUCCUCAAGGAAUGUGUCCCGGUCCUGGUUAUCGAAGAUCUUGUACGUACCUGUUUCAACGUUGAAGUGAACGACAACUAGUAAACCGAUCAAUACCGUAAGUGUGAUAUGGUUUCCUACAUUCUCGUUGUCUUCUCGAUGAUUUCAGUAGAGAACAACUAUAGACCUUACUGGACUUUCGUUUUAAUGUUUGUCUUUGCCAUACACACUUUGGACGAGCACUACCUACGAGUUGACCACACCGUUCUAACGCUACAGGUCUCCUGGAUCUUCAGAUACGUUUACGCGACUCCCCUUUCGAAGGCGCAGACGGACGAUUGACAGAUAGGUCCCGUGUACCUCAAUAACUCUACGGUCAGGGAGGAGGCCUCAGUGACUAUAAGCUUGGUAAAUAGCUUUGGCUGCUUUAAUAAUAGAGUUUAUUUAGUUCCUUACUAUCAUGGGCGGUAGACCAUACCUUCCCGCUUUUACUCACCGAACUUCACUGACAACCACACCAGCCGUUUGCACCCCUCUACGUAAGUAACUUAGGUUCGUAGUGUCAGUUUCUUUCACCACUAUAAAACAGAGAACUUCUCUUUAAAGUUCCACCUUGACCUUAGUUGAACUGUGGUGGAGGCCGUUGUUAAUACUCACUCCUACGCGAUCUCUUCACGUUUUUCACAUAGCUCUACUACCGCUUGUGUAACCCAAACCUCCCAAAAAGUGCGUAGCUGCGUAAACAAUUACACGCAUCGCCUCUCCACGACAACUAUCUCCACUUGUGGCAUGGACCCUACUGAGGCAGGUGUCAAGACUAAGUGGUCCGUGAGUGCCUCCUUGGCGGGUAGAUGGGGGUGUUCAAGAAGUCUUGCGAGGAGCUGGACCGCAAACGUUCCCGUCUGAUCGAUCUAUAUGAUGUGUCAUCACGGGGGUUCCAGAGAACGGUCUACUUGAGCAGGUAAAGUCACGUUUAUUCCAGCAAAAAUAGUGGUAAAUAGCUAGACAUAGUACGUUGACGGUUACAUACGUUCACUGACAAUACAGCCACACUUUUUGGCACACUUUUCAAACACAGUAGCGCGCUUUUCAACA